rnacentral:rRNA from 1 species
UCCAGACUCCUACGGGAGGCAGCAGUGGGGAAUAUUGCACAAUGGGGGAAACCCUGAUGCAGCGACGCCGCGUGAGUGAAGAAGUAUUUCGGUAUGUAAAGCUCUAUCAGCAGGAACGAGACAAGACGGUACCUGACUAAGAAGCCCCGGCUAACUACGUGCCAGCAGCCGCGGUAAUACGUAGGGGGCGAGCGUUAUCCGGAUUCACUGGGUGUAAAGGGAGCGUAGACGGCCAUGCAAGCCAGGGGUGAAAGCCCGGGGCCCAACCCCGGGACUGCCCUUGGAACUGCAUGGCUGGAGUGCGGGAGGGGCAGGCGGAAUUCCUGGUGUAGCGGUGAAAUGCGUAGAUAUUAGGAGGAACACCAGUGGCGAAGGCGGCUUACUGGACUGUAACUGACACUGAGGCUCGAAAGCGUGGGGAGCAAACAGGAUUAGAUACCCGCGUAUG